UUACUUGCUCCUCUGUUUCGGUCAGCCACCACAACCCCCACCGCAGCACCACUGCCGUCGUACUUCUGCCGCCACACACAACAACCACACCGUCACUCACCCGCACGUUAUCCUCCUUCGUUCGCCCACCCUUCCUCUCGCCCAACUCGUCUCUCUCUCUCGUGCUUCCCUCUCUCUCCUCGUGCGCCGCCCAGAAACGUCGGAAUUCCGCGCCGACGAGAACUCCCAGUACCGCCCUGCUGCCGGAGCUCCAUCACGACGCCGCACCCAACCUCCUUCCUCCCCUGUUUUCGUGGUCUGCUCCACUGAGCAGAGAUCAAAUGGAAAGGAUAUUACAGCCUCCCCCGGCUUUCAAGGUUAUUAAGCAGGAAUGCAGGUAUGAGCAUAGCCAUUGCAAGUGCGCUGUUAAUAAGGAACAUGUUCAAGGGAGAGUGAGCGGUAUCUGAUGUUGGAGAAAUUAUUAUUAUUAUUGGGUCAAGUAUUUAUGUAUAGAUAUCAAGGACUAUUUAAGGUUGCAUUGUAUUAGUGGGCCAUAUCCCACAUGCUUAAGUUCCAUUUCCGCUGCAAGUAUGUGCAAUUGUGUUUAAUUAAGGUUAUGAAUUUUCGGGGCGUUACACCUACCUUCACCCGAGAGAGCUUUGUAAUGUUGUUUGAUACUGAAUUGAGAGUCCACAAGCCACUGCUCACUAUUCUUUUUUUCAUUCAUCAAAGUCUUUUGGCACGCAUACUUCCAAGCCCAACUAGCACUA